rnacentral:tRNA from 1 species
CCUUCGGUAGCUCAGUUGGUAGAGCGGUGGACUGUAGUGUAUAGUAAAAACAUAGAUAUCCGUAGGUCGCUGGUUCAAAUCCGGCCCGAAGGA